CUACACAUGCAAGUCGAACGGUAACAGAAAAAGCUUGCUUUUUGCUGACGAGUGGCGAACGGGUGCGUAACGCGUAUGCAACCUACCUUUUUCUAAGGAAUAGCCCAGAGAAAUUUGGAUUAAUACCUUAUAAUAAUAUUCAUUCGCAUGUUUGAAUAUUUAAAGCUUUUGCGGAAAAAGAUGGGCAUGCGUGACAUUAGUUUGUUGGUGAGGUAACGGCUCACCAAGACUAUGAUGUCUAGGGGUUCUGAGAGGAUGAUCCCCCACACUGGUACUGAGACACGGACCAGACUCCUACGGGAGGCAGCAGUGAGGAAUAUUGGUCAAUGGACGAAAGUCUGAACCAGCCAUGCCGCGUGAAGGAUGACGGCCCUACGGGUUGUAAACUUCUUUUGUAUAGGAAGAAACCCCCCUACGUGUAGGGGGCUGACGGUACUAUACGAAUAAGCACCGGCUAACUCCGUGCCAGCAGCCGCGGUAAUACGGAGGGUGCAAGCGUUAUCCGGAAUUAUUGGGUUUAAAGGGUGCGUAGGCGGAAAUUUAAGUCAGUGGUGAAAGCCUGCAGCUCAACUGUAGAAUUGCCAUUGAUACUGAAUUUCUUGAAUCUAAUUGAAGUGGGCGGAAUAUGACAUGUAGCGGUGAAAUGCUUAGAUAUGUCAUAGAACACCGAUAGCGAAGGCAGCUCACUAAGUUAGUAUUGACGCUCAUGCACGAAAGCGUGGGGAGCGAACAGGAUUAGAUACCCUGGUAGUCCACGCUGUAAACGAUGAUUACUCGCUAUUGGCGAUACACUGUCAGUGGCUAAGCGAAAGUGAUAAGUAAUCCACCUGGGGAGUACGAUCGCAAGGUUGAAACUCAAAGGAAUUGACGGGGGCCCGCAC
rnacentral:rRNA from 1 species